rnacentral:rRNA from 1 species
GACGAACCGUGCAACCGUUAUUCGGAAUCACUGGGCUUAAAGGGCGCGUAGGCGGACAGGUAAGUCAGGGGUGAAAGCCCACGGCUCAACCGUGGAAGGGCCUUUGAUACUGCCUGUCUUGAGGGAGGUAGGGGCGUGCGGAACUUCCGGUGGAGCGGUGAAAUGCGUAGAUAUCGGAAGGAACACCGGUGGCGAAAGCGGCGCGCUGGAUCUCUACUGACGCUGAGGCGCGAAAGCCAGGGGAGCAAACGGG